AGAAGCACCGGCUAACUACGUGCCAGCAGCCGCGGUAAUACGUAGGGUGCGAGCGUUAUCCGGAAUUAUUGGGCGUAAAGAGCUCGUAGGCGGUUUGUCGCGUCUGUCGUGAAAGUCCGGGGCUUAACCCCGGAUCUGCGGUGGGUACGGGCAGACUAGAGUGCAGUAGGGGAGACUGGAAUUCCUGGUGUAGCGGUGGAAUGCGCAGAUAUCAGGAGGAACACCGAUGGCGAAGGCAGGUCUCUGGGCUGUAACUGACGCUGAGGAGCGAAAGCAUGGGGAGCGAACAGGAUUAGAUACCCUGGUAGUCCAUGCCGUAAACGUUGGAUACUCGCUGUUGGCGAUAUACUGUCAGCGGCCAAGCGAAAGCAUUAAGUCUCCCACCUGGGGAGUACGCCGGCAACGGUGAAACUCAAAGGAUUGACCGUGGGCCCGCACGAA
rnacentral:rRNA from 1 species